UACGAGGGGGGCAAGCGUUGUUCGGAAUUACUGGGCGUAAAGGGUUUGUAGGUGGCCCGCUAAGUCACACGUGAAAUCCCUCAGCUUAACUGGGGAACUGCGUGUGAGACUGGCAGGCUCGAGGGCAGGAGAGGAACGCGGAAUUCCAGGUGUAGCGGUGAAAUGCGUAGAUAUCUGGAGGAACACCGGUGGCGAAGGCGGCGUUCUGGACUGUCUCUGACACUGAAGAACGAAAGCCAGGGGAGCAAACGGG
rnacentral:rRNA from 1 species